AGUAUUAACACUCUGGAGAAGGUCUGCCUCUGUCUGCGCCUUCCUGGUUCGAUGCAGGCAGAUGAGUGUCACAGCUGUAACUGAGGCACUGAAUAAUCAACAUAUCAGAGCCAAUUCCCAUGAUGGCAAGAGGGGGAACCAGAGAUGACUGACCGUGGAGGACAAGAGCAUUCUUCUGACAAGUUUUAGCAUGGACUAUCCUCAGGAAAAUGAGAUCCAGGAAGAGUGACGCCCUCCUCGAACUGAAAGGUAAAAAAAAAAAAAAAAUUAUAUAUCAACCCUUUUCAAACAUUGCAUGUGCUUUGGAAAAACAGCUUUGUAAAUAUGCCGAUUUAAAA